rnacentral:lncRNA from 1 species
AGGUACCUCCCUCUGCAGGAUAUCAUGUGUAUGGAAUGUCUUUCCCGGAAGCUAAAGGAAGCAGUGACCCUAUAUCUGCGAGUUGUGAGAGUUGUAGAUCUCUGUGCAGGGCGGUGGUGGGAAUACAUGCCAAGUGGCUUUACAGAUGCCAGUUUUCUAACACUAUUAAAGAAGAUGCCAGAUGUUGAACAGCUAUAUGGCCUUCACCCUCGAUACCUUGAGAGGCGAAGAGUAAGGGGCCAUGAGGCUUUUAGCAUUCCAGGAGUCCUAGAAGCUUUGCAGGCAUGCCCAAACUUAGUGGGUGUGGAAACUUCUCAUUUGGAGUUGGUAGAAUCCAUUUGGACAUAUAUGCCCCAUGUUCAUAUUUUGGGGAAAUUUCGUAAUCG